rnacentral:lncRNA from 1 species
GUCCGGCCAAAUUUUGAGAAAAAGAAAAAUGUUUUCUUAAUGAUCGGGUCGGUGCUCAGCACAGUGAGUACCAUCUGUAAGUUUGGAGUAUCUAUAUUAGGCUAAUAUAAAGUAAUCAACUGGAAAGUAUAGUUCACGGGCAGCCUAGUCCCUGGCCUUCCAAGCGCGGGCGAGUUACAGGCUGUUGUGAACUUGCGGGCUGUCAGUUUCCCCAGUCUCCAAAUAAUACAGCUUUAUCACGGUCAACCUGCAAACCUUAUCAAUUUCCCCCUAAAAUAAUGAGGCGGAAGCGAGAAGGCCAGGAACUAGGCUGGUUCACGGGCUCAAUAAACAAGAAGGUGGCUUACAGCGUGGUGUUGUCGUGAAAAUGUGAGGUGAGUCUUAAUAAUUUGCAAUUUAAAUCACCCGUCAAUCAAUUUAAAACACCCGUCGGCUCACGACCAUUUUGAAUUUUCGCUACAGUUACAAUUACCUUACACAAUUGCAAGUAGAGUGAUUUACUCAGUGCACGUCUGCAUGCUUGACAGAGUUUGCUCAUUGGGGGGGGGGGGGCGUGUGGACUUGGUCAAACUAAACUAAAAAAUAUUCCGGUCAAUUUUGCAAAUUUCCGGUCAAAUUUCGUUUUGAUCGGAAGUUUUUCCGGACAAAUUUUAAAAUUAUUUCAGGCUCUGGGUAUUUGUUUAGACACCGG